rnacentral:tRNA from 1 species
GUUUUUAUGGUGUAAAUAACACAUAACUUUUUCAAAGUUAAACUAACUAAUCUUUAAAAACA